rnacentral:misc_RNA from 1 species
UCCUAGUUAACCUAGGCAGUCUCACUAGAGUCCCCACCUUAAGUGAUGGCAACUAGUGAUAAGGGUUGCGCUCGUUGCGGGACUUAACCCAACACCUCACGGCACGAGCUGACGACAGCCAUGCAGCACCUAUACAGCAGUCCUUUCGGAAAACAUCAUUUCUGAUGUCGUCUCCUGCAUUUCGAGCCCAGGUAAGGUUCUUCGCGUUGCAUCGAAUUAAACCACAUGCUCCACUGCUUGUGCGGGCCCCCGUCAAUUCUUUUGAGUUUCACCCUUGCGAGCGUACUCCUCAGGCGGUGUACUUAACGCGUUAGCUCCGACACAGCCAGGGUUGAGCCUAGCUACAUCAAGUACACAUCGUUUACGGCAAGGACUAC